rnacentral:rRNA from 1 species
UACGAAGGGGGCUAGACGUUGCUCGGAAUGACUGGGCGUAAAGGGCGCGUAGGCGGAUGGCUUUGUCGGGCGUGAAAUUCCAGGGCUUAACCUUGGGGCUGCGUUCGAGACGGGUUGUCUUGAGUGGGGAAGAGGGUCGUGGAAUUCCCAGUGUAGAGGUGAAAUUCGUAGAUAUUAGGAGGAACACCGGUGGCGAAGGCGGCGAUCUGGUCCAAUACUGACACUCAUACACGAAAGCGUGGGGAUCAAACAGG